CUCCGGUUGAUCCUGCCGGACCUGACUGCUAUCGGAUUGGUACUAAGCCAUGCGAGUCGUUGUAGCAAUACAAGGCGGACGGCUCAGUAACACGUAGUCAACCUAACCUAUGGACGUGGAUAACCUCGGGAAACUGAGAAUAAACCGCGAUAGAUCAUUAUGCCUGGAAUGGCUUAUGGUUCAAACAAUUUAUUGCCGUAGGAUGGGACUGCGGCCUAUCAGCUUGUUGGUGAGGUAAUGGCCCACCAAGGCUAUAACAGGUACGGGCUCUGAGAGGAGAAGCCCGGAGAUGGGUACUGAGACACGGACCCAGGCCCUAUGGGGCGCAGCAGGCGAGAAACCUUAGCAAUGUGCGAAAGCACGACUAGGUUAAUCCGAGUGAUUUCUGUUGAAGAAAUCUUUUGUCAGUCGUAAAACCACAGACGAAUAAGGGGUGGGCAAGUCUGGUGUCAGCCGCCGCGGUAAUACCAGCACCUCGAGUGGUCAGGAGGUUUAUUGGGCCUAAAGCAUCCGUAGCCGGCUACGCAAGUCUCCGGUUAAAUCCAGCUGCUCAACAGAUGGGCUGCCGGAGAUACUACAUAGCUAGGGAGCGGGAGAGGUAGACGGUAUUCUGUGGGUAGGGGUAAAAUCCACUGAUCCAUAGAGGACCACCAGUGGCGAAGGCGGUCUACCAGAACGCGUUCGACGGUGAGGGAUGAAAGCUGGGGGAGCAAACCGGAUUAGAUACCCGGGUAGUCCCAGCUGUAAACGAUGCAAACUCGGUGAUGCAUUGGCUUAUGGCCAAUGCAGUGCCGCAGGGAAGCCGUUAAGUUUGCCGCCUGGGGAGUACGGUCGCAAGACUGAAACUUAAAGGAAUUGGCGGGGGAGCA
rnacentral:rRNA from 1 species